UAUCGAUAAUGGCAAACCCGGGGAAAUCCGGCGACGCAAAGCUACAGGGGCUACCUCCAGCAAAUGGACAAGCCAGCCAGCUGCCGAA
rnacentral:ncRNA from 1 species